GGAUGAGAUCAUACCAGCACUAAAGCAUCGGAUCCCAUCAGAACUCCGAAGUUAAGCGUGCUUGGGCGAGAGUAGUACUAGGAUGGGUGACCUCCUGGGAAGUCCUCGUGUUGCAUUCC
rnacentral:rRNA from 1 species